CUAAAAUAUCAAAACAGCCCUCAACUAAAUAUUUUAUAUUAUUUUCAAAUCUUUAUUCUAUUUAACAAUAAAAUAAAUCUCAUAACCUUAUCAAAUCUUCCAAAACUCAUAACUUAUCACGUCAUCAAUCAAAUCACUAAAAUCAUCGUAAAUCAUCAAAACAUAUCAAAAUCAUGCAUAUACUAUAUAAUUAUAAUAUAAUCGCCUAAACUCGAUUAAAU
rnacentral:lncRNA from 1 species